GACGUAGGGCGCGAGCGUUGUCCGGAUUUAUUGGGCGUAAAGAGCUCGUAGGCGGUUUGUCGCGUCGUCUGUGAAAACCCACGGCUCAACUGUGGGCUUGCAGUCGAUACGGGCAGGCUAGAGUUCGGUAGGGGAGACUGGAAUUCCUGGUGUAGCGGUGAAAUGCGCAGAUAUCAGGAGGAACACCGGUGGCGAAGGCGGGUCUCUGGGCCGAUACUGACGCUGAGGAGCGAAAGCGUGGGGAGCAAACAGG
rnacentral:rRNA from 1 species